rnacentral:tRNA from 1 species
AUCCGGGGAGCUUGUAUUUAAGCACGUGCCUUUUAAUCACGAGAAAACACUCAGUUUCCGGAUC